rnacentral:SRP_RNA from 10 species
GCCAGGCGCGGUGGCGGGCGCCUGUAGUCCCAGCUACUCCGGAGGCUGAGGCAGGAGAAUGGCGUGAACCCAGGAGGCGGAGCUUGCAGUGAGCCGAGAUCGAUCGCGCCGCUGCACUCCAGCCUGGGGGACAGAGCGAGACUUUGUCUCAAAAAAAAAAAAAAAAAAGGCUUUUUUUUUUUUUUCUUUUUUUUUGAGACGGAGUCUCGCUCUCGUUGCCCAGGCUGGAGUGCAGUGGCGCGAUCUCGGCUCACUGCAAGCUCCGCCUCCUGGGUUCACGCCAUUCUCCUGC